GAAGGGUGCAAGCGUUACUCSGGAUUACUGGGCGUAAAGCGCACGCMGGCGGUUGGAUAAGUUAGAUGUGAAAGCCCCGGGCUCAACCUGGGAAUUGCAUUUAAAACUGUCCAGCUAGAGUCUUGUAGAGGGGGGUAGAAUUCCMGGUGUAKCGGUGAAAUGCGUAGAGAUCUGGAGGAAUACCGGUGGCGAAGGCGGCCCCCUGGACAAAGACUGACGCUCAGGUGCGAAAGCGUGGGGAGCAAAYAGGAUUAKAUACCCUGGUAGUCCACGCCGUAAACGAUGUCGAUUUGGAGGYUGUGUCCUUGAGACGUGGCUUCCGGAGCUAACGCGUUAAAUCGACCGCCUGGGGAGUACGGCCGCAAGGUUA
rnacentral:rRNA from 1 species